GCCUUGGCAUUGGCAGGCGAUGAAGGAUGCGUUUACCUGCAGUAAUCUUCGGUGAGCUGGUAUAAAGCUAUGACCCGGAGGUCUCCGAAUGGGGCAACCCGGUAGAUUAAUUGUCUACCAUUGCAUAUUGAAUACAUAGGUAUGCAAAGCGAUACCCGCUGAACUGAGACAUCUUAGUAAGCGGAGGAAAAGAAAUCAACGAGAUUCCCUCUGUAGCGGCGAGCGAAAGGGGAACAGACCAAACCAUAUUUUUAAUAUGGGGUUGUAGGGUCGAUAAUAUGGGAUCUUAAGUUUUAGUCGAAUAUUUCUGGAAAGUUAAACGAUACAGGGUGAUAGUCCCGUAGACGAAAAAACAAGAGACCCUAUUCGAUACCUGAGUAGAACUAGACACGGGAAACCUAGUUUGAAUCUGGGGAGACCACUCUCCAAGUCUAAAUACUAGCCAAUGACCUAUAGUGAACCAGUACUGUGAAGGAAAGGUGAAAAGAACCCUUGUUAAGGGAGUGAAAUAGAACCUGAAACCAGUAGC
rnacentral:rRNA from 1 species